GACGGAGGGAGCAAGCGUUGUUCGGAUUUACUGGGCGUAAAGGGCGUCUAGGCGGGUUGGUCAGUCAGGUGUGAAACCCCCCGGCUCAACCGGGGAUCUGCACUUGAUACUGCCGAUCUUGAGUACGGAAGAGGAAAGCGGAAUUCCUGGUGUAGCGGUGAAAUGCGUAGAUAUCAGGAAGAACACCGGUGGCGAAGGCGGCUUUCUGGUCCGAUACUGACGCUAAAGCGCGAAAGUGUGGGGAGCAAACAGGAUUAGAUACCCUGGUAGUCCACACUGUAAACGAUGGAUACUAGGUGUCGGGGGUAUCGACCCCCCCGGUGCCGCAGCUAACGCAUUAAGUAUCCCGCCUGGGGAGUACGGUCGCAAGGCUGAA
rnacentral:rRNA from 1 species